AGGACGAACGCUGGCGGCGUGCUUAACACAUGCAAGUGGAGCGACGAACCGGGGCUUGCCCCGGGGCAGAGCCGCGAACGGGUGAGUAACACGUGGGUAACCCACCCCGAUGACCGGGACAACCCGAGGGAACUCGGGCUAAUACCGGAUGUGCUGGCCGAUCAUCAGAUCAGUCAGCAAAGAUAGCUUCGGCCUUCGCAUCGGGACGGGCCCGCGGCCCAUUAGCUUGUUGGUGGGGUAACGCCUACCAAGGCAACGAUGGGUAGCUGGUCUGAGAGGACGAUCAGCCACACUGGGACUGAGACACGGCCCAGACUCCUACGGGAGGCAGCAGUGGGGAAUCUUGCACAUGCGCGAAAGCGUGAUGCAGCAACGCCGCGGUGGGGAAGACGGCCUUCGGGUUACGUAACCCCUUCGAGUUGGACGACGUCGUUACGCCGGUUAAUACG
rnacentral:rRNA from 1 species